GACGAACGCUGGCGGCGUGCUUAACACAUGCAAGUCGAACGGAACUCUUUGGAUCGAGACUUCGGUCAAGUGAAUCUGAGUUUAGUGGCGGACGGGUGAGUAACGCGUGAGGAACCUGCCUUUCAGAGGGGGACAACAGUUGGAAACGACUGCUAAUACCGCAUAACGCAUAUUGAUCGCAUGGUCUAUAUGCCAAAGAUUUAUCGCUGAAAGAUGGCCUCGCGUCUGAUUAGCUAGUUGGUGAGGUAACGGCCCACCAAGGCGACGAUCAGUAGCCGGACUGAGAGGUUGACCGGCCACAUUGGGACUGAGAUACGGCCCAGACUCCUACGGGAGGCAGCAGUGGGAAUAUUGGGCAAUGGGCGCAAGCCUGACCCAGCAACGCCGCGUUGAAGGAAGAAAGGCUUUCGGGUUGUAAACUUCUUUUGUCAGGGAAGAGUAGAAGACUGUACCUGGCGAAUAAGCCACGGCUAACUACGUGCCAGCAGCCGCGG
rnacentral:rRNA from 1 species